AGUGAACGCUGGCGGUAGGCCUAACACAUGCAAGUCGAACGGCAGCACAGGAGAGCUUGCUCUCUGGGUGGCGAGUGGCGGACGGGUGAGGAAUACAUCGGAAUCUACUCUGUCGUGGGGGAUAACGUAGGGAAACUUACGCUAAUACCGCAUACGACCUACGGGUGAAAGCAGGGGACCUUCGGGCCUUGCGCGAUUGAAUGAGCCGAUGUCGGAUUAGCUAGUUGGCGGGGUAAAGGCCCACCAAGGCGACGAUCCGUAGCUGGUCUGAGGGGAUGAUCAGCCACACUGGAACUGAGACACGGUCCAGACUCCUACGGGAGGAAGCAGUAGGGAAUAUUGGACAAUGGGCGCAAGCCUGAUCCAGCCAUACCGCGUGGGUGAAGAAGGCCUUCGGGUUGUAAAGCCCUUUUGUUGGGAAAGAAAUCCAGCUGGCUAAUACCCGGUUGGGAUGACGGUACCCAAAGAAUAAGCACCGGCUAACUUCGUGCCAGCCGCCGCAGUAA
rnacentral:rRNA from 1 species